AAAACCGUCAGCACUAAGCGCAUCCUCAACUGAAUAAAGACGACGCAGGAACAAGGGGAAAAGGGCUGAGGAGGAGGAGGGGAGGGCGGCUGCAUUGUAAACCAGCGUACAUUCUCAGCGGCUUGUGUGUCGCGUGUCAUGAUUUUGACAGCGGCAGCCACUGAGCUCUCACCCCUUCACCCUGACAUAUAUAUAUAUAUAUAUAUAUACGCCCCUUCCUCCAUCCGAGCACGCGUGCACGCGUUGCCAGAUGUUGCUUCAGGACGACUUGAUAGCGCAGCAGUUCGCAGUAAUUUUCCGCGUUGCGCAGCUGCUUCAGCAUGCGGCGCUCUCGACUGCGGUCUCCAAACGGACCUACAGCAUCGGUGCCGUACGCGAGGUUGGCGGGGCAGAGGUGUCGGCGCUGGUGGCACUGCCUGGCUUGAAGAUUGGCGGCAGCGAUUGUGGGCUGGCGGCGGCGCAGGCUCACACCACCUCGCACGCUUGUCCACGGAGCGGCGCGAGGGAGAAUGCGGCGGAUCGACCAGUCUUGCAGAAGCCUCUGCAGCUGCCCCUAGUGAAUACCGAUGAGGGCGUUGCCGCGCUGCAGCAGCUCGGCGGGAUACUGGACGAGGCCGCACGACAGCUGCAAGCGAGUGUGGAUGCUCAGCUGGUGGACUUUUAUGUUCACCUGGGGAAGAAAGCAAGCGCGACGCUGCCAGCGGGGGCGGGAGGGCCGAAGGAGUGGGCGACGCCAACACGUGGCUCUCCGCAGGACCGCCUGGCAUCUUCACUCAUUUCGAGACCAUCCUCGAGACAGGCGCCACAAUCGCAGCAUGGGGACAUUGGUUCACCGUUUCGGCUCGACGAUGAAAAGGGUGGUGCAUCUCGCACGGAGUCUGCUGGGCUCUGCGCUACCUUUCUACUAGAUGCAGGUGGGACCAAAAAAGCCUCCCGUGCCAAGGUUGCUGCGGCGGGAGCGGUGGCUUCCGUCACGGCGACUCCAGGUGUGGGCCCCGUACGCAUCGAGGGCCCUUCCAUCCCUUCCAUCAGCAUGUCCACGCCUCGUUCUCUCAACGCACAGCAGCCACAACGCGGCGCCCGCUCUCGAGUCGGUACCCCAAGUGGGCUGCAAAACGCACCGAUGACACGUCGCCUCGACGAAGAGCGUGCGGCUGCCUCGGAGCUACAGUCGUUCUUCUCUCUCCUGUUGGAGGCGGCUCUACGACUAACCGGCGCCUCCGCGGCGGCUGUCUACAUGGACGACGCACCGCAGUUCGCUGCCGGGGGAGCAGUGGGGUCUUCCAGCCGCCCCGCGACCUCCACGGCAGCCGCCUCGGCCACUGCCAGCAGCGGCCGAGCGCAGUUCCUGCACUGCGUGGCACACUCACAAGGCCACUUCCCCUCGAGCAUCAGCUACGCGGUGUCAAACGUGCUGACGACGGUGGUGACCACGGGCGUGGCGGUGAACGUGCAUUAUAGCGAGUCUUCCCUCCUGCGCCUGGGUAUAGGUAGGAACUCCGGGCCUGGGGAUCUCGACUCUGCGCGCCAUUCCACGGUGGCGGGCGGCGGCGGCAUCACUGCCACAGACGGUGCUCGCAGGCGACUUCGCCACGACAGCAGUGGCUGUUCCCACCGCACCCUCUUGGACAUGUACAACGGCGUCGUUGUCCCGAUCAAGGGCAUCGGCUGCCUUUUGCUGGCCAAUAAGGCGAAGACGACCGCCUUUGAUGUAACGGCGCCGCGCUUCAGCAUCUUUGACGAGCACGUUGCGUGGAGUGCCGCGUUACUGAGCGAGGCCGUGCUACACAGGUACGACCGCCAGCUGCUCUUGCGAGUCGCGUGGUCGCCAUCAUGCGCUAGUGCGCUGCGGCCGUAUAUUCAGGAGAACUGGCCGCCGCACAAGAGCGCGAACCCCUUGUCUUCCUGCAACGGCUCGCCGAUGAUGCGAGAGCGGAGAGGGCUGCAAAGCAGAAUGAACUCGAAACGCCCUUUCAGUCGUGCAAUCAACGCUGCCGCGAAGCUGUCCGCCGCCGAUGUGGACAACGCCGCCGUCUCGGCUCUCGUCUUCGAUCCGCAGAACGACAUCUUCUCCAAGACACUAACGAUGGUGCGCACGGGCGAUCCGAAGGUGUUGAAGGCUCUUCCACCGGAGCUGCGCGCCUCCUCUUCCGUCCCUUCCUGCCGACGGCCGAUCAACACCGUCAUCAGCGCCGUAGCCGCAGAAGCGGCGGCGCCGGGAUCGUCCGCAAAGCUCAACGACGAGGAGGUGUUCCACGCCGCGGCGGAGUACAUUACGAACCUAGAGUCCUUGUGGCGCAGGACCAUCUCCGAGAGUAACACGAUGCACACCAUGGUCGAGCGCUACAACAAGGAGAUGCGGAAGCAGGAGGAGACUAUUGCACUUCUAGAGGCGAAGGUGCGAGAGCUGAGCGUGCACCUGACGCAGCUAGAGCGCCGCGGGAACUUUGCGCGCCUAAACGCGGUGUAGUGUAGGGGGACGGAGGGUAGUGUGCUACCGGACCCCCCUCUGCCAGUGAUGCAUUGCUCUCGAGCCUGCCCCCAUGCCCGCUGCAUGGGCCCCCUUGCCCUUACCCUCUCUCCUUUGUUUUCUCGUGCGCCCUCCACCCUUCCUUAGUUGGUCCUUGCGGCGCUAGAGCGCCCAUGUCGAUGCUAACGCCACCCCCACGCACCUCGUACAGCGCAGGUUGAAAUGGCUCAACGUCUGCUGCACUUCAUCCUUUUUGGGCUCUCUAUCAGGUUGGCCACUGCGCGACGCCGCUGCUUUCUCACCCUUUUGGUUUCUUUGGUGCCCUCCUCCCUUUCAAAGUCCCCAUGGCCCUUUAUCACUUCCCUCUCUUUCUCUCACUAUCCUUUCCGCCUCACUUGCGACGUCUCCGCGUCGACGUACGCCCAGGGAGGGUUCGCCAGCAACUCUGAUUUCGCCGUGCUCUUUCUGCUCGGUAAACGAAGCUUGCGCGCUUAGGGGACGUGGGGAGAGGGAGAGAGGGCAGCGCUGAAGCGCGGAGGGGACAAGCCAAGCGUGCACGCACUCCACUUGCACGAGCAGAGGCGGGUGGAGGGGGUGGGGGAGAAAAGCAUCGAUAUCGUCUUCGCUUUCUUUUUUUUUUGUCAUCUAUCCUCUUAUGGUGCACCUUGUCGGUGCGCUCGUGUGUGGCCCACUUCCUCCCCCCAUGCUGCCGUCCCUUACCACCACCACCACCGCUUCUUUGAUUGUUGUGAUGGCCUUCUUCCCUUUCCUCUCUCUUUAUCCCUCUCUUGUACCUCUCGGCUUGCCAUUCUUUUUUUUUUCUCCUCUCGCUUUCUUGGAACCGCCUCUUUGGAUCUAUUUCGCCACCGUUCUCCAACCAUGUAUGCUGUAUGGAUGCUGCUGCUAUCACUGCCCCGGUGAAUGCCCCCUUUCCCCUUCUUCACUUUCUCUCUUGCUCUCCCUGCUUCAUCUGCACUUCUGAAGGGCGCAGCGAUGCUCGAACUCUAACGGGAAGCAUCAUCAGCCCCUCUCCCCUCCCUCCCUCGUUUCCUCCGCACGCGCACACACUGCGACACAUGGGGAAGGACCUGCACUGCACCCAGCAAGGCCUUGUACCGCCUUUUCCCCUUUCUCUCUGUGUGCUUAAUCGCAGAUGUCUGCCGAUUAUGUUGGCACACGCUCCUCACCCGAGUCUCAAGAAGCAAUAGUGAAACCAAGCGAACGGCAGGAACAACAUGGUCACUUGUUGGGUAUGAGGCUCAGCGGCACCGCUCUUCACGUCGACCUGGACAAUGCGCCGUUAUCAUUGGCGGUGGAAAGUGGUCAAGUUGGGACGCGCAGCGGAAACAAGCUGGGGUGAGACGUGGAGUGGUGGUCGUGGUCGUGGUCGCAGUCUGCAGCUCCUUCCACCAACCUCCCCAGACACACAGACAUACGCAAGUGAGGAGCCGAGGCAGGCCACUUGGGCUUUUCUCUUCUCUAUGCUCUCGCCUCCUCUCCUUUCUUUUCGUGCGCAAGGCAGGUUGUGCACUGUGUAGCUCAACGCUGUCCUCCUCUCCCCUCCUUCCCACAGGUGUGCUCGCUGCGCACGCGCACUCGCGAUUACCUCUUAUCUUUCCAUUUCUCUUCAUUCUUCUAUUUCCCCUCUGCCUCCUUGACAUGCUGUUGCCCUUCUCCUUCCUCUCCUUUAUCUGAAUGGAUUGCUCGCACUCUCGCGCAUUGCGUGCGCACCAUUCGUGACACGCUUUCCUUUCUUCGUCCUGCCUGCCUCCCUGUGCUCACCAUCGCGCAUCUUCGACGCACAUCUUUUCCCGCUUUACCCCGACUCCGCUCACAACAACAG
rnacentral:misc_RNA from 1 species